rnacentral:misc_RNA from 1 species
AAGUCGUAACAAGGUCUCCGUUGGUGAACCAGCGGAGGGAUCAUUACCAGAGUGCCCUAGGCUCUCCAACCCAUUGUGAACUUACCAAACGUUCCCUCGGCGGGCUCAGCGCGCGGUGGCCUCCGGGCCUCCGGGCCUCCGGGCGUCCGCCGGGGAAAACCAAACCCUGAUUUAAUCGUAUUUCUCUGAGGGGCGAAAGCCCGAAAACAAAAUGAAUCAAAACUUUCAACAACGGAUCUCUUGGCUCUG